rnacentral:rRNA from 1 species
CCUACGGGUGGCAGCAGUGGGGAAUAUUGGACAAUGGGCGAAAGCCUGAUCCAGCCAUGCCGCGUGUGUGAAGAAGGCCUUCGGGUUGUAAAGCACUUUCAGUGGGGAAGAAAGCCUUGGGGCUAAUACCCUCGAGGAAGGACAUCACCCACAGAAGAAGCACCGGCUAACUCCGUGCCAGCAGCCGCGGUAAUACGGAGGGUGCGAGCGUUAAUCGGAAUUACUGGGCGUAAAGCGCGCGUAGGCGGUCUGAUAAGCCGGUUGUGAAAGCCCCGGGCUCAACCUGGGAACGGCAUCCGGAACUGUCAGGCUAGAGUGCAGGAGAGGAAGGUAGAAUUCCCGGUGUAGCGGUGAAAUGCGUAGAGAUCGGGAGGAAUACCAGUGGCGAAGGCGGCCUUCUGGACUGACACUGACGCUGAUGUGCGAAAGCGUGGGUAGCAAACAGGAUUAGAUACCCGAGUAGUC